rnacentral:rRNA from 1 species
UACGUAGGGCGCAAGCGUUGUCCGGAUUUAUUGGGCGUAAAGAGCUCGUAGGCGGUUCGGUAAGUCGGAUGUGAAAACUUUGGGCUCAACCCAAAGCGUGCACUCGAUACUGCCAUGACUAGAGUUCGGUAGGGGAGUGGGGAAUUCCUAGUGUAGCGGUGAAAUGCGCAGAUAUUAGGAGGAACACCGGUGGCGAAGGCGCCACUCUGGGCCGAAACUGACGCUGAGGAGCGAAAGCGUGGGUAGCAAACAGG